rnacentral:lncRNA from 1 species
ACAGUCUGAUGAACAUUCUAGAGUAUGUGGACACAGAUGGACGCUCUGGCCACAGGCUCUGGCUCUUAGGUUCCCUGGACUUCUCCACACAUCUCCUUCAUCCAGUGUGAUCCUCCCUACGGGUCUCUUCGCUGCAGCUCAGCUGCAGAGGUCAAAAGCCUUGCAAAUGGAAGUCACAGAGGGGACGUGAAGGAAGAAAUGAAUACUGCAGACCAGGGGAGACCUGCCUGGGAUGGGAUCUAAGGGGACAUUACUACAUCUGCUGAGGGGGUCAUACCUUUGCCGACUGAAAAGUCACUGGUCAGUUCCUACACCCCAGGACUUCUGUGGCCCAGCUCUGCAUAUUAUCAGCGUAGGAUACUAACUAGCAGUGGCACCUAGGUGCUUGCUUGGUGGAUGAGCUUCAGAGUUCAGCUUGUUGACCUGGGACUCGGCGAUGUCCGCCCUCUCCUCCGCCUCAUCCAGCUCGUGCUGCACCUUGCGGAACUUGGACAGCCUCCAGCUCAUUCUCCAGCUCCCGGACCCGGGCCUCCAGCUUCUGCAGCUGCUUCUUGCCGCCCUUGAGGGCGAUCUGCUCUGCCUCGUCCAGACGGUGCUGCAAGUCCUUGAUGGUCUGCUCCAUGUUCUUCUUCAUGCGCUCCAGGUCGUCAUUGGCACGGACAGCAUCAUCCAGCUGGAUUUGAGUGUCCUGAGGAUCAGAAAAAUGAGUGGCCUCAUUGCGGCUGCGUGUCUCCGCAUCCAGGGAGGUCUGCAGGGAGUCCACCAUCCGCAGGUGGUUGCGCUUGGCCUGCUCCAUCUCCUCAUCCUUCUCUGCCAGCUUCCUUUCAAUCUCUGCCUUGAUCUGGUUGAACUCUAGCUGGGCGCGGAGGAUCUUGCCCUCCUCGUGCUCCAGGGAGGCCUGGAAAGGAUAUAGAUUUUGCAGGCAUAUAGUCAGAGACCAGGGUGGAAGCAAGGGUGUGUCUAAAAACCAUGGCACAGAGAGCAUUUGGGGAUGGUAUACAUGACUCAGUAGGAGAUGCAGUGGAAGGAAAUGAGAAAGAGUGUGCACAAGAGAAAUGAAAGCAAGCUGAAGAGAAGGGGAUGCAGACUCCCAGGGGGGCGGAGGGAGUCAGCUUUGAAGACAAAGAGGAAAAUGAAAAGUGUUGCCAAGGAAACAGAGGCAAUGAAGCAGAGAGUAAAGGAACAAAAAAAAAAAAACCACCACACACAGGCAGGCAGAGGUGGAAAGUGGAAUGAGCUGAAAUAGGAGUCUUUCUAAGGUACAGUAAAUAAAAUGUUUGUGUGAAGGAA